AUAAUUCUCCCAGUUAUAAACUGUUCACAAGCAACAAUACAGAGACGAUCAGCAUGGCCCCUGCGCAAGGUUAAUGUGCAAAUUCGUGAAGUGUUCCAUGUAUUU